rnacentral:rRNA from 1 species
GACAGAGGCCCCAAGCGUUAGGCGGAAUCACUGGGCUUAAAGCGUGUGUAGGCGGAUCGUUAAGUGUCUUGUGAAAUCCCACGGCUCACCCGUGGAACGGCUGGGCAUACUGGCGAUCUUGGGCCAACUAGGGGCAGUCGGAACAAGCGGUGGAGCGGUGAAAUGCGUAGAUAUCGCUUGGAACGCCGAAGGUGAAAACAGACUGCUGGGGUUGCGCCGACGCUGAGACACGAAAGCCAGGGGAGCAAACGGG